rnacentral:rRNA from 1 species
UUAAUUUAUUUUAUUAUUAAAUUUUUUUGAUAUUUUAUUUAUUUUAAUAAAAAUAAUUUUGUUUAUUUUUGUCUUAGUAUAUUUUAUUGAAAUGAUUUUAUUAAUUAUAGUUUAUUAGUAAUGUUAUUGAAUUAAUAAUUGUAAAUUAAAGUUAUAAUAAGUAGAUUUUAUUUUUUGUACCUUUUGUAUCAGGGUUUAUCAAAAUUUUAAUUUUUAUUAAUUAAUCUCAAUUUAGGUUGAUCUAUAAAGAAAAUGGUAUUUAUUGUUUCAUAAAUAUUAUGAAUUUAUUUAUAGAAAUGAAAUGUUAUUCGUUUCCUAAUAUAUUUAGUUUCUUAAGAAAAAGUUUAAUUUUUUAAAAUUAGUGUUUUUAUUUAAUUUUUUAGUUUAAAGUAUUAAUUUAUUUAUUUUUUAGGGGAUAAGCUCUGAAAAUUAAUAACCUAUAAUUUAUUAUUUUAAAUAUUUAAUAAUAAGCUUAAUACCAGCUAUUUUUAAUGAUUACGUUAUAGUUCAUUAUUUUUUGUUUAGAUUUUAUAUUUAUUUUAGGUUUUUUAUUAAGAUUAUUAAUUUAAUUUUAAAGUUUUUGUAAUAAUGAUGGAAUUAGUAUAAUUAUUUUGUUUACAUUAUUUUCUUUGUAAAUUUAUUAUAAGGAACUAGGCAAUUAAAAUUUCCGCCUGUUUAUCAAAAACAUGUCUUCAUGAUAAUAUUUUGAAGUCUUGCCUGCUCACUGAUAUAAAUUUAAAGAGCCGCGGUAUUAUGACCGUGCAAAGGUAGCAUAAUCAUUAGUUUCUUAAUUGGAGACUUGAAUGAAUGGUUUGACGAGAAAUUGACUGUCUCUUAAUAAAUUUUGGAAUUUAACUUUUAAGUCAAAAGGCUUAAAUAUUUCUUUAGGACGAGAAGACCCUAUAGAGCUUUACAUUUAUAAAUUGAUUUAUAUAUAUAGUUGAUUUUUUAUAUUAAUUUUUAUUGUUUAGUUGGGGUGACAUGAAGAAUGACUAAACUCUUCAUUAUAAAAUCAUUAAUUUAUGUUUAUUUGAUCCAUAAUUUGUGAUUAUAAGAUUAAGUUACCUUAGGGAUAACAGCGUAAUUAUUUUUGAGAGUUCUUAUCGAUAAAGUGGAUUGCGACCUCGAUGUUGGAUUAAGAUUAAUUAUGGGUGUAGUAGCUUAAUAAUUAGGUCUGUUCGACCUUUAAAUUCUUACAUGAUCUGAGUUCAGACCGGCGUGAGCCAGGUCGGUUUCUAUCCUAAGAUUUAUUGUUAUUAUGUUAGUACGAAAGGACCAUAUAGUGGAAAUAUUUUUUGUUUAUUGAUUAAAAUUAAUUGUUU